UGGGGAAUAUUGGACAAUGGGCGAAAGCCUGAUCCAGCCAUGCCGCGUGAGUGACGAAGGCCUUAGGGUUGUAAAAUUCUUUCGUCGGGGACGAUAAUGACGGUACCCGAAGAAGAAGCUCCGGCUAACUUCGUGCCAGCAGCCGCGGUAAUACGAAGGGAGCUAGCGUUGUUCGGAAUCACUGGGCGUAAAGCGCACGUAGGCGGAUAGUUAAGUCAGGGGUGAAAUCCUGGGGCUCAACCCCAGAACUGCCUUUGAUACUGGCUGUCUCGAGGUCGAGAGAGGUUGGUGGAAUUCCUAGUGUAGAGGUGAAAUUCGUAGAUAUUCGGAAGAACACCAGUGGCGAAGGCGGCUCACUGGACGUGUAUUGACGCUGAGGUACGAAAGCGUGGGGAGCAAACAGGAUUAGAUACCCCUGUAGUCCCUGAGCGGGCUGGCAAGGCGCAU
rnacentral:rRNA from 1 species